rnacentral:rRNA from 1 species
UACGUAGGCAGCAAGCGUUGUUCGGAAUUACUGGGCGUAAAGAGUGUGUAGGCGGUGCUCUAAGUUCGGUGUGAAAUCUCCUGGCUCAACUGGGAGGGUGCGCCGGAAACUGGGGUGCUGGAGCGCGGGAGAGGAAAGCGGAAUUCCUGGUGUAGCGGUGAAAUGCGUAGAUAUCAGGAGGAACACCGGCGGUGUAGACGGCUUUCUGGACCGUAGCUGACGCUGAGACACGAAAGCGUGGGUAGCAAACAGG